rnacentral:lncRNA from 1 species
GGAUUUGGAAGGAAUCUGGGUUGGUUUGCUGACUGGGUCAUAAAGCUUAUUGGGAUUAAGAUAAGGAUUUGGUGUAUUUAACAUGAAUCCUAUGUUCCUUAUAGUUCCUUAGUAUCAAUAAUUUGUGGCUUCUCAAAAUGAAAUUGAGGGCAUUGACAACUGAAAGAGAUAAUUUCUCAUCAUGAAAUUAUCGCAAGUGCUUAUAAGAUAUAUUUUCAAAUAACUAAGAGGAGCAAUUAAAUUACACUAAAAUAGUGUUACACCACUAAAAAUGGGACUUCCGCAUGAAGUUUGGACUUGAUAUGCAACAAUGCAGUGGAUCUGUAGAUGUAUGAAAAACAAUGAAGUAGAUGCCAGCUUUGAAAGAUUAUUACUAUAGACAAAUAAUGGAAAGCACCAUAGAAGUACUGAGAUAUGGUAUGGAUUCAAAUGACAUUCCCACUCAUUUGAUGGCUUUUAAAAUCACAUUCAAAAUACGAUUUCACUUAAACUAAAGUAAUACAAUUCCUAUUUCUUAUAUAGGGUGGGAGAAACAAUAGUAGACAGGCAUCAACUAAGACAUCAGAUGUGAAUUGACGGGAACCUCAAAAUUAAGUAACAAAACAAAGGACACCUCAUCCAUCCUCCAAACACCUCAUCCUAUCAAGCUAUGAUUAAUAGUCUUUACAUAUAAAUCAAACAUUGGAAAGAAAUAUCCCACAUUUUCAGAACAAUUUGUCCAACUCUACAAUUUCUAACAACUCCACCGUACAUCUCCAUGCUAUCUUAGUUUCGGUAUCCCACAUGAUCAAAAUGCACAAAAACAUUGGCGAACUGCGCCAAAAUUAAAACAACCUACUUAUAAACAAUAUCAACAUUAUCACACUCACCGCUACAAAUUAGUUGGUGUUGCAGCCGCAGAUCGUGCUAUUGGAACCCCCUUUCGGCUUUUAAACAAUCAUCCACUCUUCAGUUUUCUGCAGCAACAAGUAUGGUUAUCAUGAACAAGAUUCAGCCNNNNNNNNNNNNNNNNNNNNNNNNNNNNNNNNNNNNNNNNNNNNNNNNNNNNNNNNACAGAUAUAUAGUCAAAUUGAAAUCCUAUAAUAGAACAACAAUUGAAGUGUUUAAUGAAAACACCAAGUAUUUGUGACAAUUUGAAAGCAAAACAAGGGACAUAUCAUUUAUUUUAUAGCAUAAACGUUUUUCAUAUAAGUAUUUAUAGCAUUUUCCAUUCUUUUUAUAAUAGAAGAUAAAAUCAAGUCAAACUGGCUAUACGUUGUUUUUAUCAUAAGCUAUACUGGAGAGCUUAUGAAAAUAAGCUGAAAACAGAUUAUGGACAUGUCAUAAGUUGUUUUCAUAAGUUCUCCCAAACAAUCUCACAAGUGCUUAUGCCAAAUAUGUCGUACCCGUAUCGGCUACAGGUAAGUAUAUAAUAAUAGUUUAUAUAAAGAGAUAUCAAAUUGAAAGUUGAAACAAAAACCUGUACCAAACAGAAACAGAAAUAAUCGCAUUUCUUUGAAUGAGGUUAAGGUUCGUCGCUUUCUUGGAAAGAAUUGCGUCUCUUCAUCUUUCUCUCUCAAGGUGUUCGUGAGUUUGUGAGCACAAACACGCACGUGUUGUUUUUUUGUUUUGUGAGCGGAAUCAAUUUCUGAGUUUAGGGAGGAUCGAUUUGGACAAGGAGAACAAAUUUGGGGAUGAAUCAACUUCUUUAUAAAACACUUUCUACUUUCUUAACUUCGUUAGUUNNNNN